UCUUUCGAAAUACUCUGUAUCUCAGGGCCGUGCAGAGACCUUUGGAGGCCAAAGUCGGAGAACUGCUAUUGCCAUUUAUUAUUAUUUUUUACUCAUCUACUGAACUCUCUACGGUAGUAAUUCAUCAAGAUGGAGCUAAUGUAAACAUCGUGUCCAAGUCGUCUGCCUUUAUCACUGCAAUGGCUCUUCUUCAAUAGCCUUUUCCAACACAGCAGCUGCAGCUCAUACUGCAGGUUAUCAAUGUGCUGAGCCUUAAUCAAUGGUGAACACAGCUUAUCUUGGUGUCAGCAGCCGGAAAAGGACAAAACUGGAUGUCAUACAGUGACAGCUGGAAGGAAACGUGUCAGUUUGGCCCAGAGGAAUAUCAGAAGGAGAAGGCAGGAGGUAAACCGUUUCUGGGACCACCUGCCCACAGAGAUAUUUCUACACACUAAUGUUUGCACAUUUGUCAUAAAACAUGGAGGUGUAGCAGCCUGUUAUGUCUACUACAUGUUCUAAACAGAACAAUUCUGCCAGCAGCCAGGCCAGCUGACAGCUUUGCCUCAUGGUAUUCUGUUACUAGUGGAAAAUGAAUUCAUACUGACCAUUUAAAGACAUGAUUUAAAAUACAUUUUGUCUCAUUCUUUCCUCUUUCCUCUUCUCCUCCCUUCUUCUUCACUCCUCCCCCUCCUCCACUCUUCUAUCUGUUUGUUCUUAUUGGAACCAGUUCUAGAAGAUAUUCCUUCUGUAAAAAGCAAAUCAUUACUACUGUUAGAGUUGAUCAUUUGAAUAAAAUAGGAAAUCAAACAAAGAUAUAUUUGUUCAACAUAUUUUAAAGGUCUCAAUUUACCACUGGUUGCACUAAUUACCUGAGGAAAUCAUAGUAAAAUUUAAAUAAAAACAAAUACUUUGACAUAAACUCUGAGCUGAGUGCCGUGAGAGUGUGUGUGUGUGUGUGCGUGUGUGUGUGUGCGUGUGUCUGUGUGUGUGUCCUCCUUUUCUCCUGCAGGCUGAGUAAGGCAGGUGUAGCUCCAGCUGCAGGCUGUCAGCCUUUAAAUAGGAGCUGGAUUCCUGUGGCAGUCACCAGACGGUUCUCCAACAUCUUGUGAUUCCUGGUUCAGUGAACAUCCUCCUCCAUAUGGCUCACAGCCGACCUCUGGCUCAGUGGAAAGACAUUUCUCCCAGGGUCACCCUCCUCCUGGUCAGCAGUAAGAUCAAUCUCCUUCCUGCGUGUUGAUCUCAUCCGGUUCCCCUUAUUCUUUCCUCAUCUUCUUCUCCAUCAGUUCGGUCUCACACCAGUCUUCAUUCUCCUGACACUUCCUGUCGCUGCAAAUAAAACUUCUCACUUAC